UCGAGUAAAUUUUUUAAGUAUUCUUGGGGCAUUAAUGGUGGCACUGGGUAAUCACAGAUUCAUAGUAUAUGAUUCUCUCCACUCUACUAUUUCCAUUGGCCCCUCUUGCUUUUUCUCUCUCCUUUUUCGUUUGUCCUCCCCUUCACUCUCCCCUCUCUCAAAUACCACAGUUUUUGUUUUUUUGGAUGAAAAACCAAAAACCCAUUAAAAAAAAACCACUCUUCAAUGCCUCCUCUUUCACCUCAAACACCAUGAAUUUAGGGUUUGAUGAAAUGUGGAGAGCUUGAACAUUCAAUUCUCAACGUUUUCUCAAAGACUUUUUCUCGAGAAAAUGAUUGUGAUGGGGAAGAAUGUGCUGGUGUUGGCCCUCACCCUUGUAGUCUUGUUUGGUGGUUUCUCAUCAGCUCAAGCUACCUCUCCUGCAAAGGUUGUUAGUGGGUUUCUCUCAAAUGUUGUCUCUAUACUGAUGAGAUGGUUGUGGUCACUCAAAGCUACUACCAAAACAGGCCAUUGGAAACAAAUGGGAUACAUAUCUUGAUCUUCUCCAGUCGGAUUACAUUGAGGGGUAACAGAUUGGGAAUGGUGGAAAAUAGUUCGGGUUGCAUCAGAAGAUUUGAUUUUGUUUUUUUGGAAAUAUUUUGAUAUAAGAUUUUGGUAAAUGACUUUAGGUUAGAUGUUUAACAUCAAACUAUUUGGUUUUGUGUUUUUGCAAAUAUUUUGACAUGAGAUUUUGGUAAAUGACUUGUGGGUUAGAUGUUUAGCAUCAAAAUAUUUGGUUUUGUGUUUUUGAAAAUAUUUUGACAUAGGAUUUGGUAAUGAAUUUGUGGGUUUGAUGUUAAUAGUUUGUAAGUACUUUGGUAUGAAUGUUUCAGAUUGAUAGAGAAUUGUAAUUAUGCUUAUUGGGAUGUUUAAUAGCUAUUAAUUUUGAAUUA